rnacentral:rRNA from 1 species
CGUAAAGCGCAUGCAGGUGGUUUGUUAAGUCAGAUGUGAAAGACCCGGGGCUCAACCUCGGAAUUGCAUUUGAAACUGGCAAACUAGAGUACUGUAGAGGGGGGUAGGAAUUUCAGGUGUAGCGGUGAAAUGCGUAGAGAUCUGAAGGAAUACCGGUGGCGAAGGCGGCCCCCUCGGACAGAUACUGACACUCAGAUGCGAAAGCGUGGGGAGCAAACAGGAUUAGAUACCCUGGUAG